rnacentral:rRNA from 2 species
CGGGAGGCAGCAGUAGGGAAUCUUCCACAAUGGACGAAAGUCUGAUGGAGCAACGCCGCGUGAGUGAUGAAGGUUUUCGGAUCGUAAAACUCUGUUGUUAAAGAAGAACAAGUGUUAGAGUAACUGUUAACACUUUGACGGUAUUUAACCAGAAAGCCACGGCUAACUACGUGCCAGCAGCCGCGGUAAUACGUAGGUGGCAAGCGUUGUCCGGAUUUAUUGGGCGUAAAGCGAGCGCAGGCGGUUUUGUAAGUCUGCUGUGAAAGCCCUCAGCUCAACUGAGGAAGUGCAGUGGAAACUACAAAACUUGAGUACAGAAGAGGAAAGUGGAACUCCAUGUGUAGCGGUGAAAUGCGUUANAUAUAUGGAAGAACACCAGUGGCGAAAGGCGGCUUUCUGGUUCUGUUACUGAACGCUGAAGCUUCGAAAGCAUGGGGUAGCGAACAGGAAUAGAUACCCUGGUAGUCCAUGCCCGUAAACGAUGAAUACUAGGUGUUGGAGGGUUUCCGCCCUUCAGUGCCGCAGCUAAACGCAUUAAGUAUUCCGCCUGGGGAGUACGACCGCAAGGUUGAAACUCAAAGGAAUUGACGGGGGCCCGCACAAGUGGUGGAGCAUGUGGUUUAAUUCGAUGCUACGCGAAGAACCUUACCAGCUCUUGACAUCUUCUGCCAACCCAAGAGAUUGGGCGUUCCCUUCGGGGACAGAAUGACAGGUGGUGCAUGGUUGUCGUCAGCUCGUGUCGUGAGAUGUUGGGUUAAGUCCCGCAACGAGCGCAACCCUUAUUAUUAGUUGCCAGCAUUUAGUUGGGCACUCUAGUGAGACUGCCGGUGAUAAACCGGAGGAAGGUGGGGACGACGUCAAAUCAUCAUGCCCCUUAUGAGCUGGGCUACACACGUGCUACAAUGGAUGGUACAACGAGUCGCGAAACCGCGAGGUCAAGCUAAUCUCUUAAAGCCAUUCUCAGUUCGGAUUGCAGGCUGCAACUCGCCUGCAUGAAGUUGGAAUCACUAGUAAUCGUGGAUCAGCAUGCCACGGUGAAUACGUUCCCGGGCCUUGUAC